rnacentral:lncRNA from 1 species
CCAGUAAGACCAGGCUACCUUAUCAAGUAUUCAUUUAGCUUUUCCUGUUUGCUAAAAUUAACUUCAGAUUUACAAGUAAACUUGCUUCUGAAUUGACUCAGUUUCUAUUUCUGCAUAAAAGACUGUUUCAGUUUUCAUUCUAUUUUGUUGUGGUGAAUUGAAACUUAUAACCCUCAUCCUGACUAAACACUUUGGCAUAACCUUCAGUAUUGCCCUCUUGCUCUAACAUUUAUUGCUAUUUAUUUAAUGUUAAUUCUUCAUAUGUUUAUUUUUUACAGAGAAAUAAAAACAGGAAUAAGUUAGGAUUU